rnacentral:lncRNA from 1 species
AGAAAAAAGACAGAAAAAACCCGAACAAAAUACAAAAAAAGGUCCCAAAUAGCAAUUUUGUCCACUUGGGGGGGGGUCGAACCCAUGACCAACUUACCAGUUAAGUAAACUUGUGGAUAUCCUUUACCAACUAGGCUAAAGGCAGUUUCGAAAAAUUAAAAUUACAUGUGUAUAUAUAUCAAAAUAUAGUAAAAUCGGAGGCCCUAAAAAUUGGGAUUUUUCGGAGGCCCAAGGCGACGGCCUUGCUCGCCUUGGGCUUGGGCCGGCCCUG